GACAGAGGAUGCAAGCGUUAUCCGGAAUGAUUGGGCGUAAAGCGUCUGUAGGUGGCUUUUUAAGUCUGCCGUCAAAUCCCAGGGCUUAACCCUGGACAGGCGGUGGAAACUACCAAGCUGGAGUACGGUAGGGGCAGGGGGAAUUUCCGGUGGAGCGGCGAAAUGCGUAGAGAUCGGAAAGAACACCAACGGCGAAAGCACUCUGCUGGGCCGACACUGACACUGAGAGACGAAAGCUAGGGGAGCGAAUGGG
rnacentral:rRNA from 1 species